AACAGUUGCUAAGACUGGAUAGGAAAUAAAAAGGCAUCUUUUUAUUUUUAAAAGACCUUUUUCGGAAGGUAUGCUUAAAGAUGAGCUUGCGCCACAUUAGUUUGUUGGUGGGGUAAUGGCCUACCAAGACGAUGAUGUGUAGCUGGACUGAGAGGUCGAACAGCCACAUUGGGACUGAGACACGGCCCAAACUCCUACGGGAGGCAGCAGUAGGGAAUUUUCGGCAAUGGAGGAAACUCUGACCGAGCAACGCCGCGUGAACGAUGAAGUAUUUCGGUAUGUAAAGUUCUUUUAUUGAAGAAGAAAAAAUAGUGGAAAAACUAUCUUGACGUUAUUCAAUGAAUAAGCCCCGGCUAACUAUGUGCCAGCAGCCGCGGUAAGACAUAGGGGGCGAGCGUUAUCCGGAAUUAUUGGGCGUAAAGGGUGCGUAGGCGGUUAGGAAAGUCUAUAAUUUAAUUUCAGUGCUUAACGCUGUCUUGUUAUAGAAACUACCUUGACUAGAGUUAGAUAGAGGCAAGCGGAAUUCCAUGUGUAGCGGUAAAAUGUGUAAAUAUAUGGAGGAACACCAGAAGCGUAGGCGGCUUGCUGGGUCUUGACUGACGCUGAGGCACGAAAGCGUGGGUAGCAAACAGGAUUAGAUACCCUGGUAGUCCACGCCGUAAACGAUGAGUACUAAGUGUCGGGAUAAAACUCGGUACUGAAGUUAACACAUUAAGUACUCCGCCUGAGUAGUACGUACGCAAGUAUGAAACUUAAAGGAAUUGACGGGACUCCGCACAAGCGGUGGAUCAUGUUGUUUAAUUCGAAGAUACACGAAAAAUCUUACCAGGUCUUGACAUGCUCUGCAAAGCUAUAGAAAUAUAGUGGAGGUUAUCAGGGACACAGGUGGUGCAUGGUUGUCGUCAGUUCGUGUCGUGAGAUGUUAGGUUAAGUCCUAAAACGAGCGCAACCCUUGUCGUUAGUUACCAGCACGUAAUGGUGGGCACUUUAACGAGACUGCCAAUUAAACAUUGGAGGAAGGUGAGGAUUACGUCAAAUCAUCAUGCCCCUUAUGAUCUGGGCUACAAACGUGAUACAAUGGCUGUUACAAAGAGUAGCUGAAGCGCGAGUUUUUAGCCAAUCUCAAAAAAGCAGUCUCAGUUCGGAUUGAAGUCUGUAACUCGACUUCAUGAAGUUGGAAUCGCUAGUAAUCGCGAAUCAGCAUGUCGCGGUGAAUACGUUCUCGGGGUUUGUACACACCACCCGUCAAACCACGAAA
rnacentral:rRNA from 1 species